rnacentral:rRNA from 1 species
AACGAACGCUGGCGGCAGGCCUAACACAUGCAAGUCGAGCGCCCCGCAAGGGGAGCGGCGGACGGGUGAGUAACGCGUGGGAACGUACCCCUUUCUACGGAAUAGCCUCGGGAAACUGGGAGUAAUACCGUAUAAGCCCUACGGGGGAAAGAUUUAUCGGGAAGGGAUCGGCCCGCGUUGGAUUAGGUAGUUGGUGGGGU